CCUACGGGGGGCAGCAGUCGAGAAUCAUUCACAAUGGGGGAAACCCUGAUGGUGCGACGCCGCGUGGGGGAAUGAAGGUCUUCGGAUUGUAAACCCCUGUCAUGUGGGAGCAAAUUAAAAAGAUAGUACCACAAGAGGAAGAGACGGCUAACUCUGUGCCAGCAGCCGCGGUAAUACAGAGGUCUCAAGCGUUGUUCGGAAUCACUGGGCGUAAAGCGUGCGUAGGCUGUUUCGUAAGUCGUGUGUGAAAGGUGCGGGCUCAACCCGCGGACGGCACAUGAUACUGCGAGACUAGAGUAAUGGAGGGGGAACCGGAAUUCGCGGUGUAGCAGUGAAAUGCGUAGAUAUCGAGAGGAACACUCGUGGGGAAGGCGGGUUCCUGGACAUUAACUGACGCUGAGGCACGAAGGCCAGGGGAGCGAAAGGGAUUAGAUACCCUUGUAGGC
rnacentral:rRNA from 1 species